GUGGAGCUGUGGCUGGAAGCAGUGACGUGGUCUACGCUGAGAUUGAGCUGAAGGAGACAGAUGCAGAGAGAAAAAAGAAAGGUCUGUUUGUUAAACAUACAGUUUGUGCUUGGUAAAGAAUGCUGAUUGGUAUUGAGCGAUUGAGAAAGCAGCUAAGCCACCCGUUGUGUGAUUAUGCCUGUUCUUUUUUUACUUGUGCCAGCCAAGACAGGUUCGACAAAGUCAGACACCCUGUAUUCAAUCCUGAAGCCAGUGAAGAAACCAGACUUAGCUGGCCCCAGUGAUGUCACAUAUGCUGAUGUACAGAUUAAGAUGAAGCCACAGGGGAACAGAGCCAAACCCACGUCCUCUGAAGAAGAUUGUGUUUACUCUUCUGUCCAGCCCGGGUGCUCAUCAGAUGGAGGGUCCAGUGAUGUAACUUAUGCUCAAGUUAGAAAGGGAGCCAAAAAACCUGGAAACAAAAAUGCUUGACAAUAACACAGGUGCUCUUCAAGUGACUCCAAUUGCACACGGAUGAGGUAGCAAAGCCUGGAUGUGUGAGAUCAACAUCAUGAUCAAGAGCCAUGCACCCAUAAACAUCAUUUAACCAGAAGUAACAGGUAUCAACAGGUUGUGUUAGUGAGAUGCACAGUGACUGCACUGCCAAAGUUAUUCUUUCCCUGUGCUGAGUGUCUUUCUGGUACUUUAGUAUAAUACAUGUUUAUCAUCUUUGACUGCAAUAGCCCUGGGAAACUGUGUAAACAGGAGCAUACUGUAUUUUAUUUUUCUUGUGAUGUUUUUAUGUAUGAUUGCCAAGUUAAACCUUGUGGUGUUAAAAAGAGAGUAUUUCCAAAUACUGUCACCCUUUAUCACUGCCAUAAGUUAAGCCUUGUGAUGUGAGAAGGACAGUAUCUCCUGUGUAUAAUGGAAACCCAAAGAUGUUGUUGGCACAGCUUGGCUGUCUGGGUCAUUAGGCUAUUGUGACAUUGGACCCUAGAUGAAGGCAAGUUCAUGUCGAUUUCAACAUCAACGUCUAGACAAAGACUGAUGUUUUAAUGAACUGCUGAAGCUUAUAGUAUGCAUAUUAGAUGUACAUACAGUCUCAAAGUAUGUAGAACAGAUAUUUCCUAUGUAGAGAUUACUGUGUUUUAAUUUAACAGUUAAGGAGGCAGCUUGAUCAAAAUAUUUUGAAAGCUUUUUCAAAUGUGUUCACAAGUGUGUGUGUUUGUGUGUCUAUAUAAUAAUGUGAUUUAAUGUGUGAUCAGUGCUUGUUAAUAUUUUGAAAGCUUUUCUCAAAAUUGGUGCAAUUGUGUGUGUCUAUAUUGUGUGUGUGUAUUGUAAAAUAUGAUAUUAUAUUGUUCCAAUAAUUGGUGUCAUAUGCAGAUUUAUAUUAAAAUAUAAAAUCAGAGUGUAUUUUUGUAUGCUGAAUUUUCACUUGGAUUCAAUAAACUUUUUUUUCUAAAAAUCA
rnacentral:lncRNA from 1 species